rnacentral:rRNA from 1 species
AUACGGAGGGUGCGAGCGUUAAUCGGAAUUACUGGGCGUAAAGCGCACGCAGGCGGUUUGUUAAGCUAGAUGUGAAAGCCCCGGGCUCAACCUGGGAUGGUCAUUUAGAACUGGCAGACUAGAGUCUUGGAGAGGGGAGUGGAAUUCCAGGUGUAGCGGUGAAAUGCGUAGAUAUCUGGAGGAACAUCAGUGGCGAAGGCGACUCCCUGGCCAAAGACUGACGCUCAUGUGCGAAAGUGUGGGUAGCGAACAGGAUUAGAUACCCUGGUAGUCCACACCGUAAACGCUGUCUACUAGCUGUGUGUGAAUUUAAUUCGUGCGUAGCGAAGCUAACGCGCUAAGUAGACCGCCUGGGGAGUACGGCCGCAAGGUUAAA